GCCUCUAAACUAUCCUCUGUUCUAUCAGAACAUCUACAAUUGGAGACUUUCCUAGUGAGAUCUUUCACGUCCCAAAAUGCCCAUCCCCAGCUGCCAGCAGUGUGGCUGUUGCUCCACACAUGACAUCUGGAGAGCACUUCCUCCUAAGACAAGAAGAAAAAGGUGCCUUCUAGAACUCUUCGUUCUUGGGGUUCUCCAUCCACAGAGCUCCAGCAGGGGAACUUCACCCUAAUUUUGAGACCUGCUGGAUUUAUAGGGGACCAGGAAAAAAGUCAGUCCCUCUCCAAGCUUGAAGUACAGGGAUUGGAAGGCAGUCUCCAUGGGUACAUUAACAGCUGUGGUAGCAACUGCUUUGAUCAGUGGGUAGAAGCAACUACUGCAGCAGAACAGCCCCAAUUCUGUCAUCUUUCCAGGGAAGUAAAAGUGAAUGGUCCUUUCUAGUCCCUCUGUGAGGCUGAUGUUGGAGGCCCAAAGAUUCCCUUCUCAGCCUGACUUUCUGGGCUCUGCUCAGUGAUUCUUUUCUCCUCCAUUUGCAGAUAGUCAAGAUAGUCAAGGAACCGGCUCACACUGUGCUGGAGGAGAGCGGCCAGGAGACUGAGGUGUACCUCAGUGCCUUGGUUGCCUACGCCCAGUUCAAACUGAACACGAUCGUGGUUCAGAUCAAGGACACCUUGCCCUUCGAGACAAGUACAGCCACUUUCAGGAUGCACAACACAGGGAAGGUGGCCCUGGAAUACUUCUGGGAGGAAGAUGCUCCUGCAGAUGGUGAAGCAGUGAGGAUGCCAUAUUCAACCUCUCCGACGUGUAAGGGCAUUUCACGUGGUAGCUGAGGGCCUGGGGAGAAGACCCUGCCACUUCACCCCAAAACAUGAAUUGCUUUUUCAUCCUUGUCCACGCUUCCACUUUCAUCAACAUCUUCCCAGCUGCAACUGGAGUUUUCUCCUUGCCCACCUCUGCCUUUUAGCCCCUUCUGUUCUUGCUGUGCCACUUCUGCUCUGCAAAGGAGCUGAGCCAGGCUCUGGGGAGAGCCACGUGCUGGCUCAGGACUGGGAGGGGGGACAUCAGGUCAUUGCUUUGAGAAGUCUGAGACUGGGGAGAGCAAUGGUGUAACGAGUGAGCUGCCCUGCAGCCACUGUCUGUGUGCAGUUCCCCACUCCAGGGCAGAUGCAAAGUCACUGUCUAAAACCAACUCCUGCUUUGGCACUGGAGUGUGUGCUGCAG
rnacentral:lncRNA from 1 species